GCCUGAGACUGGUGGCUCUGAAGACACUCCUGCCGAGGCUCCCCCAUUGACUACCUCUUUUAAUGACUCAGCCCAUGACAGCCCACCUACAAA